rnacentral:sRNA from 1 species
AAGUCCCCCCAUAUUAUCCGUCGUAGUGUCGAAAGACAGAGAGCCUGGACAGAGCGCGGUGACUCCCCUUCACCGACACGUGGUAAAGCUACACAUGGGCACGUUUGAAUGUCUGG